UGAGGAAUAUUGGUCAAUGGGCGGAAGCCUGAACCAGCCAUCCCGCGUGCAGGAAGACGGCCCUAUGGGUUGUAAACUGCUUUUCCAGGGGGAGAAACUUUCCGAUGAAUCGGGAUUUGACGGUACCCUGGGAAUAAGCAUCGGCUAACUCCGUGCCAGCAGCCGCGGUAAUACGGAGGAUGCGAGCGUUAUCCGGAUUUAUUGGGUAAAGGGUGCGUAGGCGGAUCGAUAAGUCAGUGGUGAAAACCUGCAGCUUAACUGUAGACUUGCCGUUGAUACUGUUGGGCUUGAGUAUGGUCAAGGUAGGCGGAAUGUGUAAUGUAGCGGUGAAAUGCUUAGAUAUUACACAGAACACCGAUUGCGAAGGCAGCUUACUGGACCAUCACUGACGCUGAUGCACGAAAGCGUGGGGAUCGAACAG
rnacentral:rRNA from 1 species